GAGGAAUAUUGGUCAAUGGACGGAAGUCUGAACCAGCCAUGCCGCGUGAAGGAUGAAGGCGUUCUGCGUUGUAAACUUCUUUUAUCAGGGAAGAAACCACAGAUUUCUAUUUGUGUUGACGGUACCUGAGGAAUAAGCACCGGCUAACUCCGUGCCAGCAGCCGCGGUAAUACGGAGGGUGCAAGCGUUAUCCGGAUUUACUGGGUUUAAAGGGUGUGUAGGCGGGCUUUUAAGUCUGGGGUGAAAUCUCCGAGCUCAACUCGGAAACUGCCUUGGAUACUAUUAGCCUUGAAUUAUGUUGAGGUUGGCGGAAUAUAACAUGUAGCGGUGAAAUGCAUAGAUAUGUUAUAGAACACCGAUUGCGAAGGCAGCUAACUAAGCAUAUAUUGACGCUGAGGCACGAAAGCGUGGGGAUCAAAC
rnacentral:rRNA from 1 species